CAAGAGCGUGAAGAGAGCAAAGUGGCUAUUGGAUGGUUUCCUUAGAUUCCAAUGCACCUUAAUCAUAUUCACAAGACUGUACGUUUUCAUCACUGCAGGAGCUGGCAGAAUUUUGUGACAAUUCUGGGAAAUGCUUUCAGAUGGCCCCUUCUAUGAAUUAUGAAUGUUUCACAAAGCUCUAUGGUAAAUGGAAUAGCCUUGUUCUCCACAAAUGCAGGGGUGGAUUAAGAGGUGGCCUUCCUUUGUUUCUUUGCCUUGAAAUUUAAUAUUGUUUGCAAACAGAGAAAUUAAAUCUCGAUGAAGGUUCCCAUGGGUGAAUUUGGUGUUACAGCAAGAUUUGAAACUGUCUGACCUGAUAGGGGUGAAAAGAAUCUGGCUGGACUGUCCACCUCUCACUGUGGGGGCAGCUCCUGGCUUAGAAGUUCUAGACCAGGUCCAAAGGCUGUUGACAGAGAACCCACAUCUUAUCACAGGAGAUUCCAAGGAGUCACACAGAUGGCCCCACGGAGGGUCAAGCUGGAAGAGGAAAGGGAAGGUGAAAUAUGAGAGAAGCUGAAAGGAUAUACAGCAGGAAGACAAGCUUUCAAGGAGCUUCAGUGUGUGCAUCUGCAUUUAGACCACAAACAGCAACAGUGCUGGAAUUUCCACUCUCUGAGGUGUUAGGUAUGACAGUCCCAUGGUAGGGAAAGUUAUUUAGAAAGAAUCAUGCAAAAUUGAAGAGAAUGUUUAGAAUGUUUAUUUAAUAAGCAUCAAGUUUUGCUCAAGCUUAAUAGAUUCUCAACUGUGUGACUUUAGGAAAUACAAUCUGUACAGUGUUUCUGAAGUAACCACUUACCAGACAAUAAAACAAAUCAUACAGCUAAAAUAAACAUCUCAAAAUUAUCUGCCCAGCCCUCAGCUUCCCAACCACUCUGCACAGAUAUGUGUCUAUUUUAUACCUAAAUAUUACCCAAAGUGGAAACUUUUAACUAUCCACCUAUACCUCAUUUCUGUGUUUUAUCACAGUAAGUCCCAAUUCCAUGAAUUUGCUUUUGCCAUUUUUAUGACACAUCAAUGGCUGUCCAAAAGACUCCAGAAAUUAUUCAACUUCCAGUAGGUCACUGAGAAAGGCCAAGAGAGAAAAUUUCCAUCAAAUGGGUACUUUCUUCACCAGAAAUAGGGGUGGAAGACUCUCUCAACAAGACACCACAGAAGAGAUCCCAACCUUCCUUGAUGAAAGGAUGCUAGGUGCUCAAUAAAUGCUUCAUGAAGAAAUGAACCCAAUCACAUGCCAGGCUUUCAGACUCAGACUGGGAUUACACCAUUGGUUCUCCAGCUCUCUGGAGAGAGAGCUUCCUGGGUCUUCAGUUUGCAGAGAGCAGAUCAUGGGUCUUCUCAGCCUCCAAAAUUGUAACUUGUGAUAAAAUGAGGUCAACAACUGC
rnacentral:lncRNA from 10 species